CUACUGUUAAUUUAGUUUUAAGAAACCAAUUGCAAUAUUGCAAAGAGUUCAUGUUUUUACAUUUGUUGUAUUAUUUAUUCUUAUAUUUACUUAAAGAUACCAUGUCUAUAUGAAUAAGUUGUCCCUUCUAAUUAAGUAGUACAAAAUAUACUUUCUAACUAUUCAUGAGUUUGUUAUAUUCAGUUUUGUUAAAUCGCUGGAUACUAUCUUAAUAAUUUGACAUAUGCUGUUACAAUCUUACUAUAAUGAUUGAAGAAGUCUCAUAGUUAGUGGAAAGUAACUAGUUAUCUUACAAAAAACAUAUAUUAUAGUUAUUUAUAUCUAUGUUCUUUGGUCAUUAGAUGGAUAGUUUUAUUAUUGGCAAUCACACCCCUUUUCCCUAUCAAAUUUAUAUUGUUAGUGUUCAGAUAUGCAUGUGACUAUUCCGAAUUAAAUUGUACAUGGUAUUAAAUCUACUCAAUAAACAAUAUAUACUUUUUAAAUUAUGAACAACGAGUAUACCGUGUCUUAUUUUGAACAUAUCAUUGACAUGUUAAUAUUUAGAUUAACAGAUAAAAUAUAUUAUUAUGUAAAUGUUGUGAAUAAGUGUUUGUUGUCUGUAUAUACAAUGUAUUAUGUUUUAUUUUGUGUUGUUUAACCUGUUUUGAUUCUUUUACUACUUCUACUUAAUUACUAACAUAUGGUAUUGACCCAAAUUAUCUUAAACGCAACUUAAACUAUAACCAGAUUUUUUAAAAGUUACUACUUUCUCAGUACUGAAAGUUAGCAAAACUUAAACAAAAUGAUAAUAUAAGUGACAUUUUGGAAUUCUUUUUUACUUUCAUUUUGUCCUUUCUUAUUACAGAAAUACAUUUGUAUAGCAUCUACUGAAUACUGAUUUUCUUCCACCAUAAUACAUACCCCUAUUAAAACUUGUCGUCAUGUUAUAUCAAAGUAUGCUUUAAGUUGUAUUUAACACCAAAAUUAAUCAAUCAAUCAUACUACAUACCUAGCCUACGCAGUUAUCAAUCCAUAAGCCACAGCAGUUUUUUAUAAGUAUACUUUUUUUAUUUCACAAGAAAACUUCUAUUCAUGCUUACAACAAAUCACUGCAUUAUUGACACUGAAAGUAUUAAUUAUUUCUUUACGAUUACUGUAUUGUCAAAUUUUAUAAGGUAAACAAAUAGAUGAAUGAUGUAUAAAAGAGGGAUGUAUUGUUUAUUGAAGGUUUUAAUCUAUAUUUAUGGACGUGUUCAAUAUUUUUAUCUUUUAAAGAGAUAUAGACUACAGUCAAUAUGCACAACAUUAAUAUAGGAGUAAUACCUUAAUAUAGGAGUAAUACCUUCAUUAUUAAUUUUCUCAUUUGUCUCUUUUUCCUAGUUUUUUUUUCGUCUAAAAAGUAGGCAAAAUUUAUCUUUGUUAGCAAAGAAAUGUCUUACAGAAAAAAAAUCAUAUUUUAAAUUGAGGACUUUGUCUCAGAUUUUGUACCUUGAUGAAUUAUUCCUCUUUACAAUACACCAUUGUAAUGAGCCAAAAAAAAAUGAUUUAAAGUACAUUUGAUUUUUUAGACAGCUUUCUUCAUGGAGUCUUAUAACAAUGUCUUCAUACUUAUAUUCUGCCAUCAAGAAUAUCUGACUGUCACUAGAUUUUUAUUUGCACUUAAAGGGUUAUUAUUUAAUAUUUAAGUUAUAUUUUUGUGUGUAACUAGCAGUGUAGUAAUGAGUUGGCAGACAGUAAACUUUGUUCUGAUUGAGGGAUAUUUGUGGAAGAUAUAACCAUGCAGCUAGACUUACUUUUAUAUUCCAAGUAUUUUAGUUUUGUACAUCUUUUUUCUGCUGGAUUAAAUUUUUAUGUUUUUGGGUAUAAUGUCUUAUUAUGAGUAGGUACAACACGAGUUAAUUAUUUAAAAUACUAAAUAGAUUAAGUCUGAUAGCAGGUGAAUUCCUAAGGAAUCUAAGAAAGCAGUGAAUACAAUAUUUCAUUUUGCAUCAACCAUUUUGGUAAAAUAAAGAGAUUUUUAUAUCUAAUAUCAACAACCACAUGUAUUAUGUGUUCCAAUAUUGAUAUCUAAAGAUUAUUAUAAUGUUAUGUAGUUCCAGGAGUUACUUAUUUGCAUAUUUCAUACCAGGAAUUGUUAAAUAUUUGUUUGCUCAUUGAAAUAAUAAUUUGAUUAAUAAGAAAUCUUCAUUGAAACAAUAAUUGUUAUGUUAUUUUAUUGGUAAAAGAUACUUAAGUCAUUGAAUUGCCAAUAGGUGCCAUUUGAUAUUUCAUAUAACUUCGAAACAUACCAUAUACAGUGUUAGAUCUGUUAAAUUGAUAAUCAUAUUUAGUAAUUUUAUUUAUUUUAUUUUAAUAGUUUAUGUUGGGUGCUAGAGAAAUCCUUGUUUAUUUGCUAAUAAAAUUACUAUUAAA
rnacentral:lncRNA from 1 species